rnacentral:rRNA from 1 species
UACGAAGGGGGCUAGCGUUGUUCGGAAUUACUGGGCGUAAAGCGCACGUAGGCGGACUAUUAAGUCAGGGGUGAAAUCCUGGAGCUCAACUCCAGAACUGCCUUCGAUACUGGCGAUCUUGAGUCCGGAAGAGGUGAGUGGAACUCCUAGUGUAGAGGUGGAAUUCGUAGAUAUUAGGAAGAACACCAGUGGCGAAGGCGGCUCACUGGUCCGGUACUGACGCUGAGGUGCGAAAGCGUGGGGAGCAAACAGG